ensembl:lncRNA
GUUAAAUAGAGUUAUGUGUUUUGCUCUGCUCACCAUCAUCACAGGAAUAAGCAAGAGCAAUAUUUCUUGGGAGAACUGCUUGAGUUUCAGGCAUGGGGUCAAUCAGCACGCAGCUUGGGGAAAGGGAGGGGGCAUGCACUUUGGAUAGAGUUAUGAAAGCUGAAACCCUUUGGAUAGAGUUAUGAAAGCCGACUGCUGUAGGACAGCAACCAGCUCCCACAGACGCACAGGGUGAGAUGACAGCUUUCCUCUCCAGGCAUACCAGUGUUCAGGGUCUGCCUCACAGCAAUGCAAGUGUUGGAGCCCUUUGGCAAGCCAUCGCGGUGAAGGCAAGACCAAGCACUCGGCAGGAAAAGCCACUAAAUGGCAUCAGCUGUUCAGCUCCACACGGCCCUGGCAGUGCAGAAGGGAAGGGAGCCGCAGCGCUGGGGGAGCACGCAGCCUGCCCGUGUGCAGCACCAGGGCAGCCGCGGGCAGCAGCGCAGUGUGAAGCUCAAGCCCUGUGGCUCCGCUUGGCCCACAGGAGAGCCAGGCCUCGGUGCGUGCCAGGUGGAGGAAACCCUGCUCAUGCUGGCUCCCUUCCUGCAGGGCGGUCCCCGGGGAAGAUUCUUCCCCUUAUCAGCACGCCUCUCCUCAGAGGGCCAGGCCAACGUGCCCAAGUGCAGGGGCAGGCUGUGAGCACUGAGUUCCCAUACUGCCCAUGGGGAACCUCUCCUGCUCAGGCCACCAUAUGCUACAGAAACUGGCUCUGAGAAAACCUCAAUGAAGCAUUUCCUCUCCCAGAUGCCAAAGGCUAAUUGACCAGCACGAGACCUGCUGAACUUGGUGGAACCGAGGUGGAUAUAAUCACUCAAAAGAGCCAAUAACCAAUUAUCUGAAUGGCUUCAGCAGUUUCAAGGACCACUUGGAGAUAAUGCUCUCACGCAUGAAGAUAGGAACAGCACCAUCACCAUUUCCGAGCAUCUCCCACAGACACCACUGCGUGCUACCAGCAGCCUGCUGGUGAACGUGCAGGCUUCCCUUCUGGAUGCGUGGCUCUGCAUGGCCCUGAGAAAGCCCCCUCCAAACCAGCAGCAGCAGGAGCGGCCUCAUUUCUUGUGCCUUUCAGCUGAGAGCGAUUUACCAGACUGCAAAACAGCAAAUCAUUGCAGAAGGGGUCUCUGGAGGAGAAAUGGAGACCCGAGAGGAUUGGGGCGAUGCUGGAAGCCCUUUUUUAAGGAGCUGUAGAUGGAUAAUUGUCCAAGACAGAGUGGCUUGUUGACUUUCUCAUAGCAAAAGGCAGAGGGCUGUUUAAUUGAUUUUAGCCUGUAACUAAACAUAUACUUCUUUCAAUAUAAUGAACGGCAAUGCUAAAAUACUGUUCUCCUAAUGUAAAUUGAUCCAUUACAGAUGAGUGUUUAGAUCAAUGUGUGAUGUCCUCAUUGGAAAUAAAACUGUUUGCUCAAGAUCGUUAUAAAGACAACGGGCACUGAUAGAUGAUAUCGAUGUGACAAGGCAUGGCGCUUUGACAGGAUAUUGCCCAGAUGAUGCCCUCCAGUUAGGAAACCAACAUUCACCCAACAGCCACAUGUGCCUUUUUAGAGGCAACAAGAGGAAAAGAUACCAAUGCC